rnacentral:rRNA from 1 species
UACAGAGGUCUCAAGCGUUGUUCGGAUUCAUUGGGCGUAAAGGGUGCGUAGGUGGCGCCAUAAGUCGGGUGUGAAAUCUCGGGGCUUAACUCCGAAACUGCAUUCGAUACUGUGGUGCUUGAGGACUGGAGAGGAGACUGGAAUUCAUGGUGUAGCAGUGAAAUGCGUAGAGAUCAUGAGGAAGACCAGUGGCGAAGGCAGGUCUCUGGACAGUUCCUGACACUGAGGCACGAAGGCCAGGGGAGCAAACGGG